rnacentral:sRNA from 1 species
GCUGGGCGUGGUGGUGCACGCCUGUAAUUCCAGCUACUUGGGAGGCUGAGGCAGGAGAACCACUUGAACCCAGGAGGCAGAGGUUGCAGUGAGCCGAGAUCACGCCACUGCACUUCAGCCUGGGCCACAGAGUGAGACCCUGUCUCAA